AAACCGGCCCUGAGUUGACCCGGGGUUUACCUGUACUGCAGCAUCAUGGCAUUAUAUUGUAAUGCGUGACGUCACAGAGAACUCAGUUUGCAGUGUGUGUGGUCAUUCUACGGUGAGGCUCAGAACAGUAAGGUUGACAACACUCAGGGAGACACUGCAAGGGAGGGAGCCGGCUUACGCGGCUGAGACGCUGCGCGGCGGAGGACCCGACAAGCGACGCUCCCGCCUGCGGACACCUCGCCUGCCAGGACCCGGUGAUGACGCCGAAGACGCCACCGCACGCCG